AACGUAGGAGACAAACGUUAUCCGGAGUUACUGGGCGUAAAGGGCGUGUAGGCGGACUGUUAAGUCUGGCGUGAAAGCUCCCGGCUAAACCGGGAGAGGUCGUUGGAUACUGGCAGACUAGAGGGUGGUAGAGGCGUGUGGAAUUCCGGGUGUAGUGGUGAAAUGCGUAGAGAUCCGGAGGAACACCAGUGGCGAAGGCGACACGCUGGGCCUUACCUGACGCUCAGGUGCGAAAGUGUGGGGAGCGAACAGG
rnacentral:rRNA from 1 species